AUGUUUUAGAAAAAGAGAGACAAUAGUAGAUAGAAGUAAUAUGCACACAUAUGUAAACAUACACACACAAAAAGUGAGUUUAUUGAUAGGAUUAUAUCCUUUAUACAAAGAGAAGGGGAGAAGAUAAACAAUGUCUCUCCACUACAUUCCAAACACUAUAACUACAAUAAAUACUAUAGACUAUAAUAAAUAGCAUGGAGAGCGCUGGCUACAUUUAAUGCUUUCAAUAGAAUGCAUUAAAUCUGUGAAAUUAUAGCUAAUUAGUUAUGAAUUAUCAUUGUGAAAUUAAGAAAAAGGUUAUUAAUUGAUAAAGAGAUAGAUUGAUUCAAACGUUGUAGUGAGAUUUUAUCAGUUUGGAAUAAAAUUUUGACAUAUUAGUUGAUAAUUGGUAAAAUAUGCAAAGCCCUAAAAUUGGAAGGGCAAAACAAAGGUUGAAGUAAUGUCCUGGGAUCGGACGCGCUGAGCUCAAGCAAUCGAUUCGACGACAGUGCGGAGCUGAUUCAUGUUCAAGAGGCUCCUAGAAUCAGUUUUCCAACACAGGACAUGUCAUAAAAUCUUCUUAACUAACACGCAUCCUGCAGCUUAUGAAGAGGAAGUCCGAAGUUCCUGAUUGUUUGUAGAGAGAGCUGCAGUCCGAGUGCUGCUGGGGUUGCCGAGUUUGCGCAAGUUAGACUAGGGAGAACGGAUUGUCGUUGUUGAGGCAGUCCUAGGACAUUGGAGAUUCAUGUGGAGACCAUGAAGGGAUGAUUUCACUCGUCAUGAGCCUAGGAAAUAGGAGUUCAGAAAUUUAGGUGUACAUUUCUAAUUUCCAAGUGAAAGCCUACUGCGCACUUAAGAGGAAGAUCCAGAGCCAAGUCGAGCUCCUUGCCUAGCAACCCCGUGCCCGAGCAGAGCUUUACUGCGUCGAUCGCCGCACACCAUGUCAUCAGUCAGUUUGAGAGGUUCGCCAUCGGAUAGUCCAAUCUGGAAAAAUUGCUCUGUGGAUCUAUGCAACAGAACUUGGAAGGUUGCGUGUCUUCUGCGAGGAGAUACGGCGCACUGGAGACCCAUGCAUUAAGUGAGAAGGAGGAGGAGGAGGACACACUGUUCGCGCACAGCUGAACGCCAUUGCUAUGGCCAGAACCAGAGCUUUAACUUACUACAAGGACAGUGAUCUUCGCAAUAGGCACAUCUAGUUUGGCAUGAUGCUCAAAAACUUCAAGCAAUGGAUCAAAAACUGACACUGCAGUAAGUCAGAGCAUUGUUCAGUCUCAUCUGUCAAGUCCAGAUGUAUGGUCUCUGGCCCUUCCAAACUUCUAUUCGUCUGCAGGGUGUGAGGUUUAUCCUCUUUGCGUGCUGUGCAAUCUUAAAGUCACAUUCCGGCGGCGCCACUUGCAUUUGUCAUAUUUUCUUUUCUUUUCAUCUCUUUUUUUUUUCUUUUUUUUUUUUUUUUUUCUCCUUCUUCUCCUGACGCACAACAUCUGUCCCUCUGUCUCUCUCUCUCUCUCUCUCUCUCUCGAUUUCUGGGUCAUAGAGGAGAGGUGCAGACAGGUCUUCUGUUCGGGGUGACAACCGAGGAAUGAGAUGGAGCAUGUGACUCUCGCUGCAUCGAAUCUUUUCGAACAGUCUACGAGAAUCUCGCAUUAGGG
rnacentral:lncRNA from 1 species